rnacentral:miRNA from 1 species
AAGAGCCGCUGAGUGGGGAGGAGAGAGGGACAGAGAGCCUGCUUCUUUAAAGGAGCAAAGCGGGAGAGGAGAGGAGCUGCUUACACGAGUGUAAGCGGCUCCUGUCCGGUUGGCUCCUUUAAAGCAAGCAGGCUCUCUGUCCCUCUCUCCUCCCCACUCAGCUCGCUACA